rnacentral:lncRNA from 10 species
CCCCAUGGAUCUAGGUGAGGACAGGCGCUCCUGCUUUCCCGCCCAAAUGUUGUAUUUUCCAAGCCUACCCUUGCCGGCCACGCCCCCAACCUGGGCCUAUAAAAACCGCCCCCCGCAGGCCCUAGCGGGCAGACACACUGAAGUCGCUAGACAUUUGAGGAACACAUCCGGGGAAGAAGACACAGGUGGCUGGUCAUGGAGAGCCCGCUGGGGGAAGAGCACACAGACAGGCACCGGCAGGCCAUUGACCAGCGGGACAAGGUGGGCUCAAUGUCAUCACAAGGGUGCUUAAGAGGGAAAGAGGAAGCCAUGAGGGUCAGAGUCAAAGGAAGACUUGAAGAUACUACACUGCGGACUUUAAAGAUGAAGGAAGGGGCGAAAACCAAGAAUGUGGGAAGCCUCUAGAAGCUAGAGAAGGCAAGGAAACAAAUUUUCCACUAGAGCCUCCAGAAGGAACACAGCCCUGCUGACCCACUGUAAUGUCUGACCUCUAGAUGUGUAAGGGUAGUAAGACUGAAAGUCUCAGAAAGGCACUGUUAAAUUCUUAUUCCUCAACUAUGCAACUCAAAACUGGGGUCCUCAGCAGUGAGCGAGGGGUGAGAGAAGACACUGUAUAAACAUGGCACAUCCUCCUGGAAAGUCAACUUUACUCAAAGGUUCUUACACACAGUGACAGCUAGCAGAGUCUAAAAUGCUGACAUUAUGACUUAGAGAUGUGAUAAAGAGAAACAUCUAUUGCAUUUUCUGUAAGUAAAUGUGGUGCCGGCAUUGAGAGAACAUACGUAAUCAGAUACCUGUUCUCCCUGAGUUUCUUAAUUUAAGCCUCGCGAUUCCUAAUUAGCAGUUAGAUUGCAUCCAUUGUUAUUUUGUCUUUGGUUAUCAAUGAUGAUCAACCUUUGCUAAACAAAGAUAUGUCAUCAUGCUGGGGACACUCAUGGAUUUUUUUUUAAAGGUUUUAACAUUUGAUAAUAGGUUUUCCAAUAGCUUGAAGGGUAGCUUUUAACAUUUCUUUUCCAGCUGAAGUAUUUCCUGAGUUCUGUCCAAGCCCUCUGUAGUUAAAGAAAAGGCUUUUUGACACUGAAUAGACAAUGUUGUGGCUUUUUUUUUCCUUCUUCAGACAAAUGUAUAGGCAUUUAGACCGCCACGUUGUACUCUCGUAAUUGAGAUACCUUGCAGAAAUGGCAAUUAAGGGUGACUCGUGUCAAAAAUAUUCAGGACAAAUUACAUUUUACUGAUUUUUAAAAACUUUCAAAGGUACUCUCUCCUCUUUCUUUCUCCUUUCUCUCUUCCUGCCUCCCUCCCACCCGCUCCUCGUUUUUUCUUUUAAAUAUUAAGUAAACUAUUUGCAUUUUUACGUCUCAUCAAAGUUGUUCCAGGUUUUUUCUGGGUUUACUGAAACUCCAAAUCGACUACUCAGAUCAAAACAAUUAGUGAAGUCUAAGGUAUUCUUAAUUCCUGAAAUGAAAACAGAAUGGACGUUCGGGACGUUCUGUUUUGCUCUGGCUACCCGCUUGGCUUCUCGCUCAGAAUAUUCUUGCUCUCAAGUUAGUUCCAGUUCUGUUUAUUUUGUCCUGAGCUCAGUGAACUUUCCAAAGCCCUACUCUUCAAACAACACUUUUUUUCCCCCGCCCCGUGAGCUGGAGUUUAUUUUGUGCUCACCCUUCAUUCUGUGAGUUGUGAAUAAUUUUAACACAAAGAAAAAAAAAUCUCCUCCUGACCACGGAGAGAAGAGGGGAUUUUAGAAUAAAGAUAAAAAUUGCUGUUUUAGCCCCCAAAGCAAAGGACUUGGGAAAGAAGAGAAAAGGGGGGAAAAUAGAACAGCAAAGGAAAAAAAAAAAAAAAAAAAA